GCCGGCCAGCCUAGAUGCACAGCCAAGUGGUAAUGCGGUGAUUGCCCCCAAGGGAAAGACCGCCUCAGACAAGGGGGCAACAAGAGGAAGAAGACCCAGGCCCAGCCAGUGCCUGGAGGAAGGAUCUGGAACCCCAUCAGAGCAGCUUGGUUGGGAGGGAGUAGGCAGGGAGCGUGCGACUCACCUGAGUGGGUCAGCCUGGCACUAAAAAUGAAAGAAGGGGCCCCCAGCUGGCUCUGCCGGUGGAGCAUCUGAGUCUUGAUCUCAGGGUUGCGAAUUCGAGCCCCACGUUGGGGGGUAGAGAUUACUUAAAAAUUGUGGGGCACCUGGGCGGUUCGGUGGGUUGAUCGUCCAACUGCAGCUCAGGUCAUGAUACCCCUGUUCGUGGGUUCGAGCCUUACAUCGGGCUCUGUGCUGACAGCUCAGAGCCUGGAGCCUGCUUCACAUUCUGUGUCUCCCUCUCUCUCUCUGCCCCUCCCCUGCCUGUGCUCUGUCUCUCAAAAAUGGAUAAACGUUAAAAACCUUUUAUAAAAUUAAAAAAGAAAAAGAGAAUUUUAGGAGUCCCCCAGAAACACUGGCAACUGUUGUCACAGAGGACGACUCCCCGAGCUCGGAGUCCCCAAGCAGGACGCAAGCGACCUCCCUGGCGCAGCCGGAUGGUGAGUUGGGGCAGAAGCAGAAUGAAGGGCGGAGAUGGCGGCCCAGAUUUCCCUGCGCAGCAAAAAUAUCAGAAUGGAGUUGACAGAAAGCCAUUGCCUGACUGACGAACCGAGCGCUGAGAGGAGGUGUCAGAAGUACUCCUGCGCCAGGAGGAAAACACACUUGGAGGUUCUGGAUCCAGGAAUGAGGAAGACACUGGUAAAGUCACGAACAGCACUGCGCACUUGGAAGGGGAAAGAUGAAAAAUACUCAAAGUCACGAAGCAAAGAGAAAGAAAAAACAGAACACAGAUCCGUCAGGGAGGGACCAUGCGAAAAUCAGUCAUAUGGCAGAUUAAAGCUCAAGUUUAUCUCUGUUUUGUUACAAGUAAAUGGAUUUCAUGUUCCAAUGGAAGCACAAAGGUGGUCUGAGUAGUUUUGGAAAUACCCGAGGCCGCGUGAACCUUGGGACAAAACAACGGGUCUCGAGAAGUCAUGGAAUCUUUAAAACCAUAAGCCUUAUGUACUUACUUUAUCCACAAGCGAAACAAAUCGUACAAAGUAGGUUCUCCAAUCACAAUGCAAUUAUGCUUUAAACUGUUAACAAAAAUCCAGAAAAUUCUGUGUUUGAAAAUAAACAUUUUUAUCUCUGGGUCACAGAAGACAUGAAGACGGGCACCCGAGCACACCGCAGGUACAUGGGAACAGAUAUGCUCUACAUCAGAGCGCGUGGGAACAGCCGGCCCACGCUUAGAACUCAGGGCUUUACCUCCCUGCCUUACAAACAAGAAAAGAUUCAGCAUUAAUGAAUGAAGCGUACAUCAAAGGAAGUUCUAGAAAGAAGGCAAAUAAAUCGCCCCCAAGUAGCAUAAAGGAACAAGAAAAGAGUCGGAGGGCAGAGUAAUUAAGGAGCAGACCCGGGGGUGCAGAGGCCCUGUAUGCAGGAGGCCAGUUUACCGAAAAUAGUUCUUUGUUGGGAACCUCUAAUAAGGUGUGACUCUGGCGUGACUCUGGCGAAAGCAGUCCAGGAAGAAGGAGGGGCAAGGACCCUAUGGCAGGGGGAAGAACCCGAAGGCUGCGGUCUGAAUGGUUUCGGCUCCUUCAAAUCCCCUGCGAGUGGAGCCUGACCUUCCGCGGGUCGUGUUAGGGGGCGGGGUCUGGGG
rnacentral:lncRNA from 1 species